rnacentral:rRNA from 1 species
AGAUUGAACGCUGGCGGCAGGCCUAACACAUGCAAGUCGAGCGGUAGAGAGGUGCUUGCAUCUCUUGAGAGCGGCGGACGGGUGAGUAAUGCCUAGGAAUCUGCCUAGUGGUGGGGGAUAACGUUCGGAAACGGACGCUAAUACCGCAUACGUCCUACGGGAGAAAGCGGGGGACCUUCGGGCCUCGCGCCAUUAGAUGAGCCUAGGUCGGAUUAGCUAGUUGGUGAGGUAAUGGCUCACCAAGGCGACGAUCCGUAACUGGUCUGAGAGGAUGAUCAGUCACACUGGAACUGAGACACGGUCCAGACUCCGUACGGGAGGCAGCAGGUGGGAAUAUUGGACAAGUGGGCGAAAGCCUGAUCCAGCCAUGCCGCGUGCGUGAAGAGGUCUUGGAUUGAAAGCUACGUUUAAGUGGAGGAAGGUUGUAAACUUAGUACGUUGACUAACGUUUGACGUUACCGACAAGAAGUAAGACUACCGGACUAACGUUCG